CAGGGAGACAAAACUGACUUUGAUGUCUGACCCAAUUUUGUGGUGAGGCCAGAGUCCUGUCAUCUCGAAGGUCGAUCGGUACCUCAAUGGAUGAACCAGCAAGAAGGAAGUACUUACCAGCGAUGGUGGGGAUAGAGAUCUGUGUUGGAUUCAUUUUUUCAGUUCCUAAACUUUGUCUAGGUCUUACCUCACAAGGGUUUUCCUGGGCCAUUAGCUCAGGUGGUUAGAGCGCACCCCUGAUAAGGGUGAGGUCCCUGGUUCAAGUCCAGGAUGGCCCAUUCGUGUUUGGGGGUUUAGCUCAGUUGGUAGAGCGCCUGCUUUGCAAGCAGGAUGUCAGCGGUUCGAGUCCGCUAACCUCCACUGACCAAACCAGCCGGAACGCGAAGGCGACAGGAAACACUGCUCAGGACUAAGACUAGAUCGUCAGCUGCGAAUGGACCCCAGCUUCCUUUCAAGUUUUGUGUGAUCAGGAGAUCAACAGAACGAACGAAAAGACGCUGGGCUCUGAUCAGCCUGGUUCCAGUAACCAAGCUGAGAGUGCACAGCAGAACCUUGACAACUGCAUAGAUAAGUCUGAAUAUGAAGCAUCUCAUGGAUGCUCAAUUCAAACGAAAUCAUUUUAACUGAUAGUCUGUAUCUGCGAAAGCAGGUAUCAGUCUUGAGGAUUUUGUGAUGAGAAUGAAUUGAGAGAUUCUAGAAGUAAAGCCGAGCUCUGCAUGGUUCCUGGCUGCUGCCGAAGCAGUCGGGUUUGAUUUUGUUUUUGAUGGGCUUGAUAGCUCACGAUGAAAUCUGCUGCUGGAGUCAUCCACUGGUUGGAUGGUGAAAGUUAGGAGGUUGUAAUCAGCCUGGUUUAGGCCAGGAGAGCAGGAUAGGCCGAUGGAAAGCAAGA
rnacentral:tRNA from 1 species